AGGCAGAACCGUGGGGGUCUUGGGCUCUGCAACUGAGGACUCUGCAACUUCCUUCAAGUGAAGGAAGAGCUCUGCCUCCAAAGAAAGACUGCAGCCGCUGGAAAUCACAAGCUGCAGAGGAACACAGUAUUUCCUGUUGAAUAACCCGCCUCCAGAGACUAGGGAUGGUGUUCCCCAGCUUGUUCACCGCUGAACCCAGCCUGUGCCCAAGAAGCAUUUGUGGAAUGGCCGUAUGGACAAAUAAAUAAAUGAAAGGAUUUGGUAAGAAUCCAUAAA